GGUUCUAUGGUGUAGUGGUUAGCACUCUGGACUUUGAAUCCAACAACUUGGGUUCGAAUCCUGGUAGGACCU
rnacentral:tRNA from 1 species